CAGGAGGAAUACGGGAGGAAGACAAUUAUUUGCAGAGGUGUCAGGUUUGCUAAUCCUGUCCCCAGUGAGCAAGAUACCUUUGCAAGGGGAUUUGAUGCAGAUGAUCAUCAUGGCUUGGAGAAACAAUGAAGGAAGCAAAGUAUGCCAUCUAUGCUGCGGGAGGUAACUCCAGAAGACCCCAGAGAGAACGAGUUUGGACUUUUAACUGAGGGCCAUUGGAAACUACUGAAGAGUUUUAGGCAGCAUAAGAACUACUAGAUUUUCAUUGUGGGAGGAUCCUCAGCAGCAGCCUCAGAAAGGAGAUUGGGGAAGGAGAUCCCUAGUCAGGGAGACCAAGAAGACUACUGGAAAAAAACAGGGGAAUCCUCAAGGACCUGCAAACAAGAAACCAAAUCCCCCCACUCCCCCCAGCCAAAAUGUGUUCAUUUUGACCAGCUGUGUGUGUGUUUUAAAUUAAAAGUUUGAAUUAGAAAGCAAGUAGGAUAAAUUUAUAUACUUAGAUGUAUAAAUUUAAAUACCUGGCC
rnacentral:lncRNA from 1 species